GAGAUCACAUGACAAUACAACAACAACGACAAUCAUGACAAUACAGAAUGGAGAUCCUUAUCGGUUUCUCGUUAUUCGUAUCUGCCACAGUGCUUGUGUUUAGCGUUGAAUCGAAUUGUUUUCAUCUGGGCAGCAAAUAUUAUAAACUAGAUCCAACGUGGCCGAUUGACAGCGAAGCAUUCCAGGGAGAAGUCUUCAGCGCUGCAAUUGACGACGUCAAAGGAGAGGUUUAUGUGUCACAGAGAGGUGAUGAUAUACCUCAUGUCCUUGUGUUCGACAUUGGAGUCGGCAAACUCCUUCGGAACUUCACCUACAAGGAUAGCAGUACACUUCAGGACAUUCAUGGCAUGAGAUGGCAAUUCAAUGAAACCAACCAGCAAGGCUAUGUCUGGGUGACGGAUGUAGGCAAUGGGCCUCAUGGGUAUACUGUCAAACGGCUUUUACCGGACGGAACGCUUGAUCUUACGAUGGGUGUGGCUGGCAAGGCUGGUACCUCCCUGCAUCCUCUCAUGUUUGGAAAUGUUGCUGAUGUUGCAAUCAAUAAAGAGGGCAUCCUUUACGUUGCAGAUGGUGAUGGAGGAGUCAACAAUAGAGUUGUUAAAGUGGAAUUGAGGAAUUCUGGCCCAUUAACAAUCUGGAGUGUUGGAAAUAAUGGCACCGCCCCUGGUCAGUUUCGCAUUCCCCACAGCGUAGAGCUGGACGACGGCGGCAGGCUCUGGGUGGCUGAUCGGAUGAACGGGAGGCUGGAGGCCUUCGAUGCCUCAACGGGAACGUUUCUGGGAAAUUGGAGCUCAUGCUUCUAUGAUGGUGAACCCUACUCUGUCAGACUUAGCAAAGACAGAGGCCACUUCAUUGUGACUCAGCUGAAUUCUGACCAGAUUGUGCUGGUCAAGGCUGCCCCGGGCUCUGGCCCAAUAGGGGACACUUGCCAUCGACUGGACACGAUAGCCCUUGGUAAGGACACCAAGCCCCACCUAGUGGCCGUCAGCAAAGCAACAGGGGCAUUCUUCGUUGGUGAGCUCGGCAGUCAGUCAUGCCAAAAAUUUGUGCCAAUUUUACAAAAUAAUCUCUGGGUCCCAUAACACAUAGGUUGGCAAUAUACCAUACGCUUGAUUUUCAUGAUUGAUUAUACAUUGUAUUGUAGCCAAUGUAAUCAAUCAUAAAAAGAUGUUCUACGAUCAUUGCUAUCCUUUGAGUCACUGGCGGAUCCAGGGUGGAGGGGGUCACAUUCAGCUCAUGCCCCCCCCCCAUUUUGAGUGGUUGAGAGUCAUUAUCAACAUUUUUAAUUUAAAUACCUAUGCCAUUUUACCCAAGUGUGCCCCCCCCCCCUCCGUUUUAAAAGCAAGGACCUUUUUUUGCGCUUCUCAGAUUUUUUGCAGAAGAAAUACUAGUAUGACCUUAAAUUUCUGGUGAAAUCCUUUUUCUUUUUCUUGUUGCUUGUCAAAUUUUCAUCAGGAAAAUGUGCCCCCCCCCCCUUUGGAAAAUCCUGGAUCCGCCCCUGCUUUUAGUUACGGCCCAUGAUCAUGGGCCCUGUUGCAUAGCAACUUAUUCUUCCAAUGGUAUUUCCAUAGGUAACCUGCCACCCAAACCAACAAAAGUCACCCAAAAUAAACUUAGAGAUUUUUAUUGAGCUUGAAGAACUGAUAUACACCUGUAAAACCUCUUCAUUUUAUGAAAUUAUUGAAAUUCAAGCCUUAUUUCAAAUAGCAAGAACUUUGUUAUUUCUUGACCAUUUUCUUUUAUUGAGGUAUCAAAUUAAAGAGCAGAUAUUGAAUUUUUUUUUAAUGAAUUUUCUACACUACUAGUAUCCAAAAAAAUUGUAUCUUGCUUUUUAUUCAACUUUACAACUUCAAAUUUUGGCAAUAUA